AGCGAACGUUAGCGGCGCGCUUAACACAUGCAAGUCGCACGAGAAAGGGCUUCGGCCCCGGUACAGUGGCGCACGGGUGAGUAACACGUGGGCGACCUUCCCCGGAGUGGUGGAUAACCUGCCGAAAGGCGGGCUAAUACAGCAUACGUUCGCGGUUCUGCGGAGCCGCGAGGAAAGCAGGCCUCUGCACGCACGCCUGCGCCCCGGGUAGGGCCCGCGUCCCAUCAGCUAGUUGGCGAGGUAACGGCUCACCAAGGCGACGACGGGUAGCUGGUCUGAGAGGAUGGCCAGCCACACUGGAACUGAAACACGGUCCAGACUCCUACGGGAGGCAGCAGUGGGGAAUAUUGCGCAAUGGGCGAAAGCCUGACGCAGCGACGCCGCGUGAGUGAAGAAGGCCUUCGGGUUGUAAAGCUCUGUCAGAGGGAACGAAUCCUGCGGAUGACCUCCGCAGCUGACGGUACCCUCGAAGGAAGCACUGGCUAACUACGUGCCAGCAGCCGCCGUAACAC
rnacentral:rRNA from 1 species